rnacentral:rRNA from 1 species
UCGAAGUCGGUGCCAGAAGGCGGGGUAAUACGGAGGGUUGGGGAGUUAUCCUGAUGUAUUGGGUUUAAACGGUGCGUAGCCGGCACUUUAAGUCAGGGUUGAAGGUCGGCAGCUCAACUGUCGCAGUGCCCUUGAUACUGAAGUGCGUGAAUGCGGUUGAAGACGACGGAAUAAGCUAAGUAGCGGUGAAAUGCAUAGAUAUGUCUCAGAACACCGAUUGCGAAGGCAGCUGUCUAAGCCGUUAUUGACGCUGAUGCACGAAAGCGUGGGGAUCGAACAGGAUUAGAUACCCGUGUAGUC